GGCGGGACGACCCGCCUCCCCUGCUGCACCGUCGGGACGGCCUGC
rnacentral:ncRNA from 1 species